AAGUCGUAACAAGGUCUCCGUAGGUGAACCUGCGGAGGGAUCAUUAACAUGUUUAUACUUAAUAUAUAAACAUAUCUAUACAAAACAAAUAGAAACGAAAGUAAAAAAUGGAUAUUGGAAUAUAUAUUCAUUCAUACUUAGUUCUUCUCCCUCUCUACAUCUAUAGCAAUAUAGAUAUAGUUUGGCUAUUUUAUUAUCAAUAUUAACCCCUUUCCAACACAAUUAAUCAAUCAAUGACUUAUAUGUGAGUUGAAAAAUAUACAAUUCUUAUAUAUUUUUGUUACUCUACAUUAUUAUCUUAAUGUAAAGCACAACUCUUAGCAACGGAUAUCUUGGUUCUC
rnacentral:misc_RNA from 1 species